rnacentral:rRNA from 1 species
CCUACGGGAGGCAGCAGUAGGGAAUAUUGCUCAAUGGGGGAAACCCUGAAGCAGCAACGCCGCGUGGGGGAUGAAGGUUUUAGGAUUUUAAACUCCUUUUUUUAGAGAAGAUUAUGACGGUAUCUAACGAAUAAGCACCGGCUAACUCCGUGCCAGCAGCCGCGGUAAUACGGCGGGUGCAACCGUUACUCGGAAUAAAUGGGCGUAAAGGGUGAGUAGGCGGUGUAAUAAGUCAGAUGUGAAAUCCUGUAGCUUAAAUACAGAACUGCCUUUGAAACUGUUACUCUUGAGUGUGGGAGAGGUAGGUGGAAUGCUUGGUGUAGGGGUAAAAUCCGUAGAGAUCAAGAGGAAUCCUGAUUGCGAAGGCGACCUGCUGGAACACUACUGACGCUGAUGCACGAAAGCGUGGGGAGCGAACAGGAUUAGAUACCCCUGUAGUC